rnacentral:rRNA from 1 species
UACGUAGGGUCCGAGCGUUGUCCGGAAUUACUGGGCGUAAAGGGCGCGUAGGCGGCCCGCUAAGUCGAACGUGAAAUCCCCGAGCUCAACUCGGGAACUGCGUCCGAUACUGGCGGGCUUGAAUCCGGGAGAGGGAUGCGGAAUUCCAGGUGUAGCGGUGAAAUGCGUAGAUAUCUGGAGGAACACCGGUGGCGAAGGCGGCAUCCUGGACCGGCAUUGACGCUGAGGCGCGAAAGCUAGGGGAGCAAACGGG